rnacentral:rRNA from 1 species
ACUAUGCUAAGCCCUGAACAUUGAUAGUUACUAAUACAAUACUUUCCGCCAGAGAACUACAAGUGAAAAACUUAAAACUCAAAGGACUUGACGGUGUCCCAUAUCGGCCUAGAGGAGCCUGUCCUAUAAUCGAUACUCCCCGCUCCACCCAACCUCAACUAGCAAAUAUUCAGCCUAUAUACCGCCGUCGACAGUUUACCCUAUGAAGGCCUAAUAGUAGACACAAUAGCCUUAACGCUAAUACGUCAGGUCAAGGUGUAGCAAAUGUUGAGGAAGAGAUUGGCUACAUUUUUUAUGAUAAAAAAUACGAAUUGCACUAUGAAAUACUGCAUGAAGGCGAAUUUAGUAGUAAAACAGAUAAGAGUAUCUGUUUUAACAACGCUCUGGGACGCGUACAC